GGCAGGCCUACACAUGCAAGUCGAACGGUAACAUUUCUAGCUUGCUAGAAGAUGACGAGUGGCGCACGGGUGAGUAACGCGUAUACAAUCUACCUUUUACAGGGGGAUAGCCUUUAGAAAUGAAGAUUAAUAUCCCAUAGUAAGUAGUUUUGGCAUCAAGACAACUUUAAAGUUUCGGCGGUAAAAGAUGAGUAUGCGUUCUAUUAGCUAGAUGGUGUGGUAACGGCACACCAUGGCAACGAUAGAUAGGGGCCCUGAGAGGGGGAUCCCCCACACUGGUACUGAGACACGGACCAGACUCCUACGGGAGGCAGCAGUGAGGAAUAUUGGACAAUGGGCGCGAGCCUGAUCCAGCCAUGCCGCGUGCAGGAAGACUGCCCUAUGGGUUGUAAACUGCUUUUAUACAGGAAGAAACCUCAGAACGUGUUCUGAGCUGACGGUACUGUAAGAAUAAGGAUCGGCUAACUCCGUGCCAGCAGCCGCGGUAAUACGGAGGAUCCAAGCGUUAUCCGGAAUCAUUGGGUUUAAAGGGUCCGUAGGUGGAUAAUUAAGUCAGGGGUGAAAGUUUGCAGCUCAACUGUAAAAUUGCCUUUGAUACUGGUUAUCUUGAAUUAUUGUGAAGUGGUUAGAAUAUGUAGUGUAGCGGUGAAAUGCAUAGAUAUUACAUAGAAUACCAAUUGCGAAGGCAGAUCACUAACAAUAUAUUGACACUGAUGGACGAAAGCGUGGGGAGCGAACAGGAUUAGAUACCCUGGUAGUCCACGCCGUAAACGAUGGAUACUAGCUGUUCGGACUUCGGUCUGAGUGGCUAAGCGAAAGUGAUAAGUAUCCCACCUGGGGAGUACGUUCGCAAGAAUGAAACUCAAAGGAAUUGACGGGGGCCCGCACAAGCGGUGGAGC
rnacentral:rRNA from 1 species